rnacentral:lncRNA from 1 species
UUCACCUUAUUCCUGUAGCACGACCAACUGUUACAUCAGUCCUUUGGAAAAGAAAACUUAGAGAUUUUUCUUGCGGUUUAUUUUGUAGGAGGGACGGAAGGAACAGAUAAACAGUUUGUUUUUUCAUGCUUGGGUUUUCUUCUCAUUUUUCAGUUUUGGUGGCACCAUAGGCCAGGUGUCCUAUUAAUGCACCAUUCUGUCCGUGACUGAAUUAAAUUGCUGCGUUUAACUUCAGAAGAAUCAGUGUGAUCUUCAAGCCUCAGCAGUAACAUCAGGUCUCAUGCAAAUGGACAUGCAUGCCAAUAUUAGGUUAUGGAAAACAGCAGUCAAUGCAGAAUAUCAGAAUGAUAUGACAAUCAUCGUAACAUGAAGAGAGAAGAUGCUGGCUAAUCAAAGUUUAGUUCAUUGUUAUGUCUGGGAUUUUGACACGCAACUCAGUUAACCUUCCAGUGGCAGAGAAGGCAAUCUUCGGCUGGAAUAUCCCUGUUGACCUCUGUCUUCGGUUUUGUGUUAAAAUGUUUGUGUGCCAUUUUUUUAAGUUCACAAGUCUAAUUUUCUCCCCAGAGGGUGUUCACAGUUUCUUCAAAGACUUCAGUGCUUAUCUGUUGUUUGAGGUUUUCUUUGACAGGGCUCACACGUUUUGCCUUCAAGGUCUCCCCUGGUCAGCUCAAUGAGGAAAGGGAGACCCCGAGUAAGUUUGCUCUGAACUGACUGCUGUUAAUUAGGGACGUUAGAACCCAGUACAUUUCACUCUGCUGUUUUCACUUCUGAUAGUUCACCCAAUAUCUAAAUUGGAAGCAGC